AUGAGGCUGAGACCUCAGGGUGCAGCUGAGGGCCACUGCUGGGAGUGGGGUGGGGGUUUCAGGGACCUAUACAGAGCAGACAGAAGCCUGGGACAGAGGCUCAGUCUUCUUGCAUCACAGCUGCAAGUGGGGGGCUCAAGGGUGGGGCAGGGCUUCCCACAGAGGUUUUUGUAUGAGCCUGUGUCACAGUGUCGUGUGUUCGGCGGAGGGACCCAUCUGACCAUCCUAGGUCAGCCCAAGUCCGCACCCUCAGUCACUCUGUUCCCACCCUCCUCUGAGGAGCUCAGCAACAACAAAGCCACACUGGUGUGUCUGGUCAGUGACUUCUACCCUGGAGCCGUGACAGUGGCCUGGAAGGAGAAUGGCAGCCCUGUGUCCCAGGGUGUGGAGACCACCAAGCCCUCCAAACAGAGCAACAACAAGUAUGCGGCCAGCAGCUACCUGAGCGUGUCAGCCAGCAAGUGGAAAUCUGCCAGCCAGUUCAGCUGCCACGUGACACACGAUGGCACCACUGUGGACAAGACAGUGGUCCCCUCAGAGUGUUCCUAGAUCCCUCACUCCACAACUCCCUGGGUUGGAACCACACGACCCUGAACAAAUCUCCCUAACAAACCCCAAUCCAUCUUCCUCCUGAACAGAAUCAUCUGUCAAUAAAAUAUCUGCCUUGUCAAUUAGA